rnacentral:rRNA from 1 species
UACGGGGGUGAGCAAGCGUUGUUCGGAUUUACUGGGCGUAAAGAGCGCGCAGGCGGUCGUUCAAGUCGCGUGUGAAAGCCCCCCGGCUCAACUGGGGAGGGUCACGCGAUACUGAUCGACUGGAAGGCAGGAGAGGGUAGUGGAAUUCCCGGUGUAGUGGUGAAAUGCGUAGAUAUCAGGAGGAACACCGGUGGCGAAGGCGGGUCUCUGGGCCGAUACUGACGCUGAGGAGCGAAAGCGUGGGGAGCGAACAGG